AUUGAACGCUGGCGGCAGGCCUAACACAUGCAAGUCGAGCGGAGCGGCGGACGGGUGGGUAAUGCCUAGGAAUUUGCCUGGUAGUGGGGUACAACGCCCGGAAACGGGCGCUAAUACCGCAUGCUAUAAGGUGACCCUAGGUGGGAUUAGCUAGUUGGUGGGGUAAAGGCAUACCAAGGCGACGAUCCGUCACUGGUCUGAGAGGAUGAUCAGUCACACUGGAACUGAGACACGGUCCAGACUCCUACGGGAGGCAGCAGUGGGGAAUAUUGGACAAUGGGCGAAAGCCUGAGCCAGCCAUGCCGCGUGUGUGAAGAAGGUCUUCGGAUUGUAAAGCACUUUAAGUUGGGAGGCGUUACCAACAGAAUAAGCACCGGCUAACUUCGUGCCAGCAGCCGCGGUAAUUC
rnacentral:rRNA from 1 species